rnacentral:rRNA from 1 species
UGAGGAAUAUUGGUCAAUGGGCGGAAGCCUGAACCAGCCAAGUCGCGUGAGGGAAGACGGUCCUAUGGAUUGUAAACCUCUUUUGCCGGGGAGCAAGACGGUCACGAGUGACCUACUGAGAGUACCCGGAGAAAAGCAUCGGCUAACUCCGUGCCAGCAGCCGCGGUAAUACGGAGGAUGCGAGCGUUAUCCGGAUUUAUUGGGUUUAAAGGGUGCGUAGGCCGACUGUCAAGUCAGUGGUAAAAUUGAGAGGCUCAACCUCUUCGAGCCAUUGAAACUGGCGGUCUAGAGUGGGCGAGAAGUAUGCGGAAUGCGAGGUGUAGCGGUGAAAUGCAUAGAUAUCACGCAGAACUCCGAUUGCGAAGGCAGCAUACCGGCGCCCGACUGACGCUCAUGCACGAAAGCGUGGGUAUCGAACAGGAUUAGAUACC